rnacentral:misc_RNA from 1 species
AAAUUUUUUUUCCACCAAAAUAUUCCAAGUUCACUCUCUUAAAAAAAGCCAACGUAACAAGCCAUACAAACUAGGAAUUAGAGUUUGCAGUAACAAAAUUUAUCCUCACAAUACAGAAACAUGUUGAAACAUGGGCAGAAAAUUGGAAGAAGCUUAUGAUGCAGAGAGUGGAAUUGGCCUCACUGCACCUUGGAUUCGCCUAAACACAGUCCUGACCCUUUCCUUGAGACCUUCAUUUUCGCUUUCAACAUCCCCACUCUGUCUGUCGAGCUGUGCCACGUUCCCAUCAACAGUUAUGACCAGCUUCCCAUUCUCUCCACGCUUCACAUCUCCAAAAAGUGAAACAAGGAGUGCAUGAAUCACCUUCUCUGCUUUUUUCCCAUUUUCUUCCUCUGAUUUCACAGCCUCUGACUCAACUACCACCUUGGGAACCUCCCUACUGAUGUUCAAAACUAGAGCUACAACUGAGUCAGACACCAUAUCACUUAUAGGAUCUGCAUUCCAAUGAAGUGAAAUAUGUUUAUCAGACUCAAGCUUCACAGUCACUCUCUCAUGCACUUGCAAUGUCGGAACCCCAGAUUCCUCAUCUGUGCCGGAUUCCACACUCUCAUAUAUCUGUUCAAGCCGGUGCUUUAUCACACCAAAGGCACCAGAGAAUGGAAUGGUGAUUCUCUGAGUAAUAUUUGCUGUUGAUAGCUGGGAGAAUACAUGGAGAUCUUCAGGUGCCAUAAUUUGGUAAGUGAAGCCCUUCUUUACUAGUAUGCCGCUGACAGUUUCACCGACAUCUGGGGUCUUCUCAGCUAGUUUCCCUAUUGUUUUUGCCAUUUUCUCAGAGUUGAAAUACAUCUCAACAGACUGGCAAUUCUUAGGAGUAAUGAUUUUGGUGUUGCCAUCAGCAAACUCUGUAAUAAGCUUCUGUUUGAGCCUCCCCAUUUCAUUAGCUUCUCCAUGAACAAGAAUUAUGUUAGGAGGCAUCAGCUCUUUCAAAAAUGUACUUGUCUGAGCAUAAUCCGCAUGGGCAGAGAAUGAAAUAUAAUGGACUUGCAUGUUCAGAGGAGCAGUUAGUCCAUUCAUUAGAGUGACCUCCUUUGGUUCAUUAAUGAUGGUUUUAGCUAGCGUUCCUUCAACAACAUAUCCAGGUAUAACACAAGCAUUUUUCUUAUCGGAGCACCACAUAUCAAAUAACUGCCUUGACAACCCGCUUUGCAGUCCACUGGGACUAGCCAUGACCACUGAUGGACCCACAUCAGUAAAAUCCUCAAUGCUAUUUAGUGGUGAUAUGUGCUUGAAUUUGAAGGGAUUUGAGUUCGCAAACUGGUUGCGGAUCCUCUCAUUCAUUGAAAGGAUAUGAAAGGAUAUAUGUCUGGUAGAACAGUCAUACACUUCUUUGCAAGGGGAGAAGCAUAAUAUAUGGGAAUGUUAUGGAGCUCAGGAUGGUUUGACCAGUACUCAUCAAGGAUCAAGAGAAGUUCUUGGGCACGACCAAGGGCAAAUGCUGGGAUUAGAACACGACCCCCUUGAGAAAUAGUUGAGUGGAUAACAUCAGUGAACCGCUUCUCCCGAAUGUGCCGAGGUUGAUGGAGCUGGACUCCAUAAGUGGAUUCAAUUACACAUAUGUCAGGGGAGAAUUGUGGCAUCUCAGCAGCACGAAGAUGCCGGUCUUCUUCACGUGAAUAGUCUCCAGUAUAAAGGACUCGAACACCAGCGAUGUCAACCAUGAACAUGGCAGCACCAAGGACAUGACCAGCAGUAUAGCACCAAAAUUUAAUGCCAUUCACCUCCACUGUUUGAUGGAAGUCAAUAACCUCAAUCUUAUCCAUGGAGCGGUUUAUGUCUUGCUCAUCAAACAACAUG